UACGUAGGGGGGCAAGCGUUGUCCGGAUUUAUUGGGCGUAAAGAGCGUGUAGGCGGUUUGGUAGGUCCGCUAUGAAAACUCGAGCUCAACCUCGAGACGCCGGUGGAAACCAUCAGACUGGAGUCCGGAAGAGGAGAGUGGAAUUCCGUGGUGUAGCGGUGAAAUGCGCAGAUAUCAGGAAGAACACCCGUGGCGAAGGCGGCUCUCUGGGACGGUACUGACGCUGAGACGCGAAAGCGUGGGGAGCAAACAGG
rnacentral:rRNA from 1 species